AGGGUUAUCACUCAGCAAGUGGUCUCUUCUUUCUAGGAUCACUUUUCAAACCCUCCCUGCAGUGCUCAGGGAAGUGAGUUCGAUGCUCUGCACACUAUUGUACACACCACAAACGCACCAUCUAUAAUACAGCACAAUUGUCAGUUGCUGUUUUACAGAGGGGCCUGGGCUGAACAAUCAUGGUGGAUAAAUUACUUUCCUAUUCUACAGCAAGCGGCCUUCCUACCAUGUGAAGCUUAAGGUCAUUGGCAGGGCAGUGAGGGAGAAGCUUAUAUAUUAGUUAACUCUAAUGCACUAAUAGUGUUCAGAUAGGGGAACUAUACCUAUUAAUUACAGUUAGGUUUGUUCAUCGAGAAUGGGGGCUGAUGAAGAGUUACUGUGCUGAGAUACAUACAUGUAUGUGUAUGGAUGCAUAUAUAUAUGUUUGCUUUCUUGCUACAAUACUCCUAUAGGUAACUUAUUUUUCUUUUUUAUUUAAUAUCUACAUUAAAGCCUUCAAUAUUUGUCAUUGCAAGAAUCCAGAUUUCAGAAAUCAGAAAAUGUUCUAAAAAGGUUUUUAUACUGUGGCAACACAUUCUGCUCACAGUUUUUACAGUGUAGUCUAAAGGGGGAGGGGAAGAAAAAACCUGUCAAAAAUUAAGUAGAACAUCCUUGAAUGGCAAACAGCAUGCCCAGAAUUUAUGUACAACGCAGUGGCAAGUAGCUGCUUCUUAUUAAAUGAAAAUCCUGUAUUAUGUACUUCAGGAACAUUCCAACUAAUGAGUAUGUAAUGUCCUUAGUAUAACACAGAACUUCUUUUUGUGUUCACAACCACAAGAUGCUGGAAACUUGACAAAUGAUAUCAUUUAAGACAGAUGCCUGCCUUAGGGACCUGUUUUUUGGCUUCCUGUUUCUGGUUUUUAUUUCAAUAACAUUUGUAAUUGCCACAGGAUCUGUACCUGUGUAGUGUUUUAACCCCUUCACAUAUACCCUAUUGCAUUAACUCCUUGGGUAGGUACUUGGGAAUCCUUUCUUUUUAAUUUUUCUUUCUUUUUUUUUUUUUUUUCCUCCCCAGCUGGUGUGUUCUGCCUCUCUUGAGCAGAGACAUAAAUAAAAGCUGGGCUUAUUAGACCAGAUGAAAUGGUAACGUUAGAGGCGUUAAAUGCUUACUGCACUAGCUGUGUUUUACUAGUACAAAAGUACAUGUAGAGCAGACCCAAGGCAAAACCCAAGAAACUGUAUGGCCUGCUGAUAAGCAGAUAUGUCCUGCUGAUUCUCAGUGAGAGACAACAAAACUAUGUAUGCAGCUCAAGCACAUAAUACUUUGAUCUCAGUUAUAUUUUCCAAUGUACCUUACUCUUCCUUAAACUGGCAUUCUUUACUUAGGUUAUAGGGCAGGAAUGUUUUUGACAUCACUGCAAUUGAUGCUGGUUACAAGGGGUGUUUCGGCAGUCCUGGUUCAACGCGAGCUGUAAGAGCCUUCUUCAAGUAAAGCCCUUAUCACUGGACUUCAGCAGUUUUCAGCUCCCCAGGUGGUCAGCACAGAUCCUGGCAGACUGCAAGAACCUUACCCACAAUACUGAGCAGCCCAGGGGCUUUUGUGGUGCUUUAUAGCAUGUUUGGCUUUUUUGUAGGUUUUGCAAAACACGUUAGAAAUGGGCUGUGUACAAGAAGCUUACAUGGUUCUGCACAGGGAAGUUUUCACUGGGAAACUUUACUAAAUCCUACACAGUGCUGUAGUAACAAAUAAGGGCUUGGAAAGAGCAAGAGUUCUUGGCACCUAUUCUGCAGGUGAGAAUUUUCUACUUGUCAGAAGCACUUAGCUCUCGUGGAUUUACAGUGCUUUCUGAUGUCAUUUCGAAGCAAAAACUUUACAUUCAAGCCUUUUGUCACAGGACAUGUAGUCUCAUUGCACCUGCUUCAACUCUUAAGGCAAGUUUAUCCUGUGAAGCGUCAAACAACCUUAUCUUUCUUCAGAACAGGAGCUGAGGACUCUGAAAACCUCAAGAAACAUCUCUGUUUACUGGAAGACCAGACAGCACAUCAUACAAACAUACCCUCCGGGCUUUCUGUAGGAGGAGGAGGAAGUCUUUAUCUUCCAUCACAAAAGGGAGGUCAAAAGGACCAAGUGAGUGCCAGGCCAAGUAACUUCUGUUGUUCUAGAGUUCAUUUUUGGAGGAGAGCCAUUCUCGUUGUGUAACACUGAUGCAGCACAUUUCAUUAGCUGUGUACAGAUCCAAGAAUAAAUUUUGGCCUUGACCGUGGAAUGUUCACCCACUUUCAAGUAUGGAUGUGACCUGCCUUCUUCUGUGACUAACAGGGUUACCAGAGGCAGUGGAACAUACACCAGGACUAGAGAGAAUAAAACCAGAGGGGAAGCAAGCUGUCAAGAGAACAGUGUAUUGAAAAGGAAAAAUGUAAAUCAUGACUUCUAUUUACCAUGAUUAAUAUGUAAAGUUAACAUGUUUGUCAUGGAAUAUAUUAAUAUGUAUGUUUUCCCAUUAUGUAGAUCUUUUCUUAUAUUACUUAUUAGAAAGGGAUAUAAUCACAAUGAUGGGGCAAGAAUGCCACUUAAAAAUUAGGUGAUGCCCAGUCAACAUAAUAUAACCACUACAGUGUCAUUUCUCAUUUAGAUGUGGUGAUAUCAGUGUAAUUGCAGCUGGGAAGAAAUUAUAAUGGCUGUUAAUGAUAAAUAAAAUGACAAGAAGGAGGAUCCUCCUUCACAUAUAA